GAUUAAGUUAUUAAGGGCGCACGGUGGAUGCCUUGGCACUAGAAGCCGAUGAAGGACGUUACUAACGACGAUAUGCUUUGGGGAGCUGUAAGUAAGCUUUGAUCCAGAGAUUUCCGAAUGGGGAAACCCAGCAUGAGUUAUGUCAUGUUAUCGAUAUGUGAAUACAUAGCAUAUCAGAAGGCACACCCGGAGAACUGAAACAUCUUAGUACCCGGAGGAAGAGAAAGAAAAUUCGAUUCCCUUAGUAGCGGCGAGCGAAACGGGAAGAGCCCAAACCAACAAGCUUGCUUGUUGGGGUUGUAGGACACUCUAUACGGAGUUACAAAGGACGACAUUAGACGAAUCAUCUGGAAAGAUGAAUCAAAGAAGGUAAUAAUCCUGUAGUCGAAAAUGUUGUCUCUCUUGAGUGGAUCCUGAGUACGACGGAGCACGUGAAAUUCCGUCGGAAUCUGGGAGGACCAUCUCCUAAGGCUAAAUACUCUCUAGUGACCGAUAGUGAACCAGUACCGUGAGGGAAAGGUGAAAAGCACCCCGGAAGGGGAGUGAAAUAGAACCUGAAACCGUGUGCUUACAAGUAGUCAGAGCCCGUUAAUGGGUGAUGGCGUGCCUUUUGUAGAAUGAACCGGCGAGUUACGAUUUGAUGCAAGGUUAAGCAGUAAAUGUGGAGCCGUAGCGAAAGCGAGUCUGAAUAGGGCGUUUAGUAUUUGGUCGUAGACCCGAAACCAGGUGAUCUACCCUUGGUCAGGUUGAAGUUCAGGUAACACUGAAUGGAGGACCGAACCGACUUACGUUGAAAAGUGAGCGGAUGAACUGAGGGUAGCGGAGAAAUUCCAAUCGAACCUGGAGAUAGCUGGUUCUCUCCGAAAUAGCUUUAGGGCUAGCCUCAAGUGAUGAUUAUUGGAGGUAGAGCACUGUUUGGACGAGGGGCCCCUCUCGGGUUACCGAAUUCAGACAAACUCCGAAUGCCAAUUAAUUUAACUUGGGAGUCAGAACAUGGGUGAUAAGGUCCGUGUUCGAAAGGGAAACAGCCCAGACCACCAGCUAAGGUCCCAAAAUAUAUGUUAAGUGGAAAAGGAUGUGGCGUUGCCCAGACAACUAGGAUGUUGGCUUAGAAGCAGCCAUCAUUUAAAGAGUGCGUAAUAGCUCACUAGUCGAGUGACACUGCGCCGAAAAUGUACCGGGGCUAAACAUAUUACCGAAGCUGUGGAUUGUCCUUUGGACAAUGGUAGGAGAGCGUUCUAAGGGCGUUGAAGCAUGAUCGUAAGGACAUGUGGAGCGCUUAGAAGUGAGAAUGCCGGUGUGAGUAGCGAAAGACGGGUGAGAAUCCCGUCCACCGAUUGACUAAGGUUUCCAGAGGAAGGCUCGUCCGCUCUGGGUUAGUCGGGUCCUAAGCUGAGGCCGACAGGCGUAGGCGAUGGAUAACAGGUUGAUAUUCCUGUACCACCUAUAAUCGUUUUAAUCGAUGGGGGGACGCAGUAGGAUAGGCGAAGCGUGCGAUUGGAUUGCACGUCUAAGCAGUAAGGCUGAGUAUUAGGCAAAUCCGGUACUCGUUAAGGCUGAGCUGUGAUGGGGAGAAGACAUUGUGUCUUCGAGUCGUUGAUUUCACACUGCCGAGAAAAGCCUCUAGAUAGAAAAUAGGUGCCCGUACCGCAAACCGACACAGGUAGUCAAGAUGAGAAUUCUAAGGUGAGCGAGCGAACUCUCGUUAAGGAACUCGGCAAAAUGACCCCGUAACUUCGGGAGAAGGGGUGCUCUUUAGGGUUAACGCCCAGAAGAGCCGCAGUGAAUAGGCCCAAGCGACUGUUUAUCAAAAACACAGGUCUCUGCUAAACCGUAAGGUGAUGUAUAGGGGCUGACGCCUGCCCGGUGCUGGAAGGUUAAGAGGAGUGGUUAGCUUCUGCGAAGCUACGAAUCGAAGCCCCAGUAAACGGCGGCCGUAA
rnacentral:rRNA from 1 species